GGGACGUAGGCGUAGCGAAAGCGAGUCCGAAUAGGGCAAACAUAGUCGCUGGUGUUAGACCCGAAGCGGAGGUGAUCUACCCUUGACCAGGUUGAAGCUUGAGUAAAAUCAAGUGGAGGACCGAACCGGUGUCUGUUGAAAAAGGCUCGGAUGAGUUGAGGGUAGGAGUGAAAGGCUAAUCAAACCCCGUGAUAGCUGGUUCUCCUCGAAAUGUAUUUAGGUACAGCGUCACGUGUUGACCCAUGGGGGUAGAGCACUGAAUGAGCUAGGGGGCAUACCCGCUUACCAAACUCAAUCAAACUCCGAAUACCAUGGGGUAGAGCGUGGCAGUGAGACAGUGGGGGAUAAGCUUCAUUGUCGAAAGGGAAAGAACCCAGAUCAGCAGCUAAGGUGCCUAAAUACCGCUCAGUGGAAAGGAAGUGAGAUUUCAUAGACAGUGAGGAUGUUGGCUUAGAGGCAGCCACCAUUUAAACAAUGCGUAAUAGCUGACUCAUCGAGAGAUCUUGCGCCGAAAAUAAUUGGCGAUAAGCGGUAUACCGAAGCUCUGGAUGUUAUGUUUCUUCGGAUUCAUAGCGUGGUAGAGGAGCAUUGUUAGAACAUUGAAGUGCGAUGGCGACUGACCAUGGAGCUCUAACAAGUGAGAAUGCAGACAUGAGUAACGAUAAGACGGGUGAAAUCCCCGUCCGCCGUAAACCCGAGGGUUCCUGGGCAAUGCUAAUCAUCCCAGGGUUAGUCGGGACCUAAGCCGAGGCCGAAGGGCGUAGGCGAUGGAAAGCAGGUUAAUAUUCCUGCACGUCCGAAACUUAACCCAGAAGGACGCAUUCCUAGAGAGAUAAUACCGACUGAUAGUGGUAGAGGGGAAACUUCGGUGGAACCUACCUUCUCGACGGGAGUGCCAAGAAAAGUUCUGGUGCAUGCUAAGGACCCCGUACCGUAAACCGACACAGGUGGGUGAGUAGAAUAUACUAAGGCGUAAGAGUGAAACCUCGUUAAGGAACUCGGCAAUCUAGCCCCGUAACUUAGGGAUAAGGGGUCCCUGCUUCGGCAGGGCGCAGUGAAAGGGGCCAACCGACUGUUUAGCAAAAACACAGCAUUCUGCUAAGACGAAAGUCGACGUAUAGGAUGUGACACGUGACCAAUGCCAAAAGAUUAAGGUAAGGUGUUAGCCCUCGGGCGAAGCUCUGAACCCAAGUCCUGGUGAAUGUCGGCCGUAACUAUAACGGUCCUAAGGUAGCGAAAUUCCUUGUCGGGUAAGUUCCGACCUGCACGAAUCGUGCAACGAGUUGGCCGCUGUCUCAACGAGGAGCUCAGUGAAGUUGUAGUGCCGGUGAAGAUGCCGGCUACCCGCAGAAGGACGGAAAGACCCUUUGCACCUUAACUGUACGCAGUCACUGGUGUUCUGGUUCUGAUGCUCAGAGUAAGUGGGAGACGUUGAAGCUUGUCUUUAGGGGCAGGUGGAGUCGCCAAUGAGACACCACCCUUUGGUAUUGGGACAUCUAACCGCAGGCCUUGAAACAGGAUGCGGGACCAUGGCUGCCGGUCAGUUUUACUGGGGCGGUAUCCUCCUAAAGAGUAACGGAGGAGCGCGAAGUUUGGCUCAGCACGGUUGGCAAUCGUGUUUCGAGUGCAUAGGCAUAAGCCAGACUAACUGUGAGACCUACAAGUCGAGCAGAUACGAAAGUAGGCCUAAGUGAUCCGGUAGUAGAAAGUGGAAUCGCUAUCGCUCAACGGAUAAAAGGUACGCUAGGGAUAACAGGCUGAUCGCGCCCAAGAGUUCAUAUCGACGGCGCGGUUUGGCACCUCGAUGUCGGCUCGUCACAUCCUGGGGCUGGAGAAGGUCCCAAGGGUUCGGCUGUUCGCCGAUUAAAGUGGCACGCGAGCUGGGUUCAGAACGUCGCGAGACAGUUCGGUCCUCUAUCCUCUGCGGGCGUAGGAAAAUUGAGGGGUUCAAACUCUAGUACGAGAGGACCGAGUUUGACGCACCACUGGUGUUCCAGUUGUUCCGUCAGGGGCAUUGCUGGGCAGCUAAGUGCGGCACGGAUAAGCGCUGAAAGCAUCUAAGCGUCAAGCCAUUCCCAAGAUUAGUUUUCCCUGAAGGACCGUGGGAGACCACCACGUUGAUAGGCUAUGGGUGUAAGUGCAGUAAUGUAUUCAGCUUAGUAGUACUAAUCGUCCGUUCGGCUUGUUUAC
rnacentral:rRNA from 1 species